rnacentral:rRNA from 1 species
CCUUAGAGUUUGAUCCUGGCUCAGGAUGAACGCUAGCUACAGGCUUAACACAUGCAAGUCGAGGGGCAUCAUGGCGGUCGCUUGCGACCGCUGAUGGCGACCGGCGCACGGGUGCGUAACGCGUAUCGAACCUGCCGCAUACCCGGGGAUAGCCUUGCGAAAGCAAGAUUAAUACCCGAUGUUCUCACUGUUCCGCAUGUUACGGUGAGCAAAGAAUUUCGGUAUGCGAUGGCGAUGCGUCCCAUUAGCUAGUUGGCGGGGUAACGGCCCACCAAGGCUCCGAUGGGUAGGGGUUCUGAGAGGAAGGUCCCCCACACUGGAACUGAGACACGGUCCAGACUCCUACGGGAGGCAGCAGUGAGGAAUAUUGGUCAAUGGACGCAAGUCUGAACCAGCCAAGUAGCGUGCAGGAUGACGGCCCUCCGGGUUGUAAACUGCUUUUAGUUGGGAAUAAAAGGGGGCUCGUGAGCCCCGUAUUGUAUGUACCAUCAGAAAAAGGACCGGCUAAUUCCGUGCCAGCAGCCGCGGUAAUACGGAAGGUCCGGGCGUUAUCCGGAUUUAUUGGGUUUAAAGGGAGCGUAGGCCGGCUUUUAAGUCAGCUGUGAAAGUCCGCGGCUCAACCGUGGAAUUGCAGUUGAAACUGGAGGCCUUGAGUGCACACAGGGAUGCCGGAAUUCAUGGUGUAGCGGUGAAAUGCUUAGAUAUCGCGCAGAACUCCGAUUGCGAAGGCAGCAUGCCGGCUCCACACUGACGCUGAGGCACGAAAGCGUGGGUAUCGAACAGGAUUAGAUACCCUGGUAGUCCACGCAGUAAACGAUGAAUGCUGGCUGUCCGGGGGGAUUGACCCCUGGGUGGCGAAGCGAAAGCGAUAAGCAUUCCACCUGGGGAGUACGCCGGCAACGGUGAAACUCAAAGGAAUUGACGGGGGCCCGCACAAGCGGAGGAACAUGUGGUUUAAUUCGAUGAUACGCGAGGAACCUUACCCGGGCUCAAACGACACAGGAACGGUCCUGAAAGGGGUCGGCUCUACGGAGCCUGUGUCGAGGUGCUGCAUGGUUGUCGUCAGCUCGUGCCGUGAGGUGUCGGCUUAAGUGCCAUAACGAGCGCAACCCCCAUCGACAGUUGCUAACAGGUUAGGCUGAGGACUCUGUCGAGACUGCCGGCGCAAGCUGCGAGGAAGGCGGGGAUGACGUCAAAUCAGCACGGCCCUUACGUCCGGGGCGACACACGUGUUACAAUGGCAGGUACAGCGGGAAGCCACCUGGCGACAGGGAGCGGAACCCGAAAGCCUGUCUCAGUUCGGAUUGGAGUCUGCAACCCGACUCCAUGAAGCUGGAUUCGCUAGUAAUCGCGCAUCAGCCACGGCGCGGUGAAUACGUUCCCGGGCCUUGCACUCACCGCCCGUCAAG